AGCGGUGUGUGAACAAUCGGACUCUAUAUUUAUCAAUGAAAAUCUCGUUUGAUUAAUUACACCAAGAUGCCAAAAAUCAGCAAGCAUUUAUUUCUUCAGUUUCAUAUCUCCAUAUAAUAUAUAUAUAUAUAGUCACCCGUGUAGAGAAACCAGACACUACACCAUAGAAAUUGUAUAGAAGGAGAUGCUAUAGAGAACUAUGAAGAAGUCUUCAUUCAUCUACACGGCUUUGCUGGUUUUUCUGCUGGUCAUUUCAUCUGGAGUGCCUGAAGCAUAUGGGAGGAGCUUAGCAGAGGUAGCUGAAACAAAUCCAUGUGGUCCUACAUGCAAUGAAUGUAUCCAAGGGAAGUGCCUUUGUUAUAUAGGUCACUUGUGUCUAAGCAGCAGCAACACUGAUCAUCAAAACUCAAUUCCCAUUACUACAACAGAGGAUGGUGCCUAGAAAAGGGCAGCUUGAUUGGCUGUGAUCAAGAAAUAUGUUUAAUUACAGCUUUUGUCUUCAUCCUUCAGUCUAAAUGAAUAAAUAAUAAUGGAACAAAGUCUUUUGAUUAAA